ACCUCCUGGCAAUGGGCAAAGGGACACCUUGUUGGUGGUGUUCUUACAUCAGUCAAGGGGCACAGCAGGUGGCAGUCCUUUGUUUAUCCUAGCUUGAUCGCUGGCUUGGCGGUCAAAGCUGACUUAUGCCUAGGACUCAUAA